CGAGAUGAGUAUUCUAAGGCGCUUGAGAGAACUCUGGAGAAGGAACUCGGCAAAUUGACACCGUAACUUCGGAAGAAGGUGUGCCUUUAGUAGGUGUAGUUGUACAAACGAAGCCCAAUGAGGCCGCAGAGAAUCGGUGGCUGCAACUGUUUAUUAAAAACACAGCACUCUGCAAAGACGAAAGUCGACGUAUAGGGUGUGACGCCUGCCCGGUGCUGGAAGAUUAAAUGAUGGGGUGCAAGCUCUUGACUGAAGUCCCAGUAAACGGCGGCCGUAACUAUAACGGUCCUAAGGUAGCGAAAUUCCUUGUCGGGUAAGUUCCGACCUGCAUGAAUGGUGUAACGACUUCCCCGCUGUCUCCAACAUCACCUCAGUGAAAUUGAAAUACCCGUGAAGAUGCGGGUUAUCUGCAGCUAGACGGAAAGACCCCGUGCACCUUUACUAUACCU
rnacentral:rRNA from 1 species